ACUCCUACGGGAGGCAGCAGUGGGGAAUUUUGGACAAUGGGCGCAAGCCUGAUCCAGCCAUGCCGCGUGAGUGAAGAAGGCCUUCGGGUUGUAAAGCUCUUUCGGCCGGGAAGAAAUCGUGGUCUCUAACAUAGGCCAUGGAUGACGGUACCGGACUAAGAAGCACCGGCUAACUACGUGCCAGCAGCCGCGGUAAUACGUAGGGUGCGAGCGUUAAUCGGAAUUACUGGGCGUAAAGCGUGCGCAGGCGGUUUUGUAAGACAGAUGUGAAAUCCCCGGGCUUAACCUGGGAACUGCGUUUGUGACUGCAAGGCUAGAGUACGGCAGAGGGGGGUGGAAUUCCUGGUGUAGCAGUGAAAUGCGUAGAGAUCAGGAGGAACACCGAUGGCGAAGGCAGCCCCCUGGGCCUGUACUGACGCUCAUGCACGAAAGCGUGGGGAGCAAACAGGAUUAGAUACCCUGGUAGUC
rnacentral:rRNA from 1 species